rnacentral:other from 1 species
AAUAUAAAGAGGUAUACCCUAUAUGACACAAGGUACAGUAAAAUGGUUUAACGAAGAAAAAGGAUUAGGCUUGAGUUCUCAAGAAGAUGGCGCAGAUGUUUUUGCUCACUUUUCAGAAAUCCAAACAGACGGUUUUAAAUCGUUGGAUGACGGCCAAAAAGUUAGCUUUAAUAUUGAGCAAGGUCAACGUGGCCUUCAAGCGACAAAUAUUACUAAAAACGCCUAAUCACAAAAAGCUCAGAUGCUUAGCAUCUGAGCUUUUUU